UACGGGGGGGGCAAGCGUUGUUCGGAAUUACUGGGCGUAAAGGGCGCGUAGGCGGGAUGGCAAGUCGGUCGUGAAAUCUCUCGGCUCAACCGAGAAACGUCGGCCGAUACUGCCGUUCUUGAGGGAUGCAGAGGAGACUGGAAUUCCCGGUGUAGCGGUGAAAUGUGUAGAGAUCGGGAGGAACACCGGUGGCGAAGGCGGGUCUCUGGGCAUUUCCUGACGCUGAGGCGCGAAAGCGUGGGGAGCAAACGGG
rnacentral:rRNA from 1 species